UUUCAAUCCUCUUAUUCAAAGAAAAUAACAAAUAAAAGAAAAGAGAUAGCACCAAGCUUACUUUGGCUUACAACUCUCACAGUCUGACCCUCAGCUUACGACUCUCACAGUCUAGCAUUUUCUUCCCUUCUUCCAUCCUCCUUAUACUACCCCGAGAUACCAACUCCUAUACUACAAAUGAUAACUACUUUUUCUGACUAUUCAUCCAUUCUAUCUGCUGAACCACCUUUUCAGCAGUUAUCUAUCUUUGUUUAUACUAUACACUAGGUAUCUACAUUCUGAAAAUAACUACUUAUUCUACAUAGCCCUACUCCUAACUAUGCAGUGUCCUCGCAAACACUCAAUUGAUACCUAUCUAAAAAUUAUCUAACAAAACUCUAUAAAAAUUAUGAUCCCUCUAGCCUAUCUAAUUAAUCAAUUGCCGCAUUAUGUGUUAUUGGUUCCACCAAUUCCGAUUCCAACUACAAAUCUUCGUCCUCUUCCAAUCCUUCCAUCGACUCCUACCUCAACUGAGCUGAAAGGUCUUCAUUGUACUUGCCCAGUUCAUGGACUUCAGCUUCCAAUUUGAGGAUCUGGGCAUCUCUCAAUUCCAACUGGUAUUGAAAGUGACUCCUCUCUUCUGGAACUUCGGGAAUUAGCAAUGUCGAUACUUGUGCUUGACUAAUAUUGACUAAAUCCUCUGCCAAUCUUAUCACCUCAACAUUCAAGGCCUCAAUUUCAG
rnacentral:lncRNA from 1 species